rnacentral:rRNA from 1 species
CAGUCGCCGCGGGAAUACAGAGGGUGCGAGCUUUAAUCGGAUUUACUGGGCGUAAAGCGUGCGUAGGCGGCUUCUUAAGUCGGAUGUGAAAUCCCUGAGCUUAACUUAGGAAUUGCAUUCGAUACUGGGAAGCUAGAGUAUGGGAGAGGAUGGUAGAAUUCCAGGUGUAGCGGUGAAAUGCGUAGAGAUCUGGAGGAAUACCGAUGGCGAAGGCAGCCAUCUGGCCUAAUACUGACGCUGAGGUACGAAAGCAUGGGGAGCAAACAGGAUUAGAUACCCCUGUAGUCCCUGUCUCUUAUAC